rnacentral:ncRNA from 2 species
CCCGCGGGCCGUGACUGGCGCGCUGGGAUGGGACCAACCAUCGGGGAGCGGCCCGAGAGCAACGUGCCGUGCGCCUGGGCCAUCCGU